UUGGAGGGCAAGUCUGGUGUCGGCAGCCGCGGUAAUUCCUGCUCCAAUAGCGUAUAUUAAAGUUGUUGAGGUUAAAAAGCUCGUGGUUGAACCUUGGGCCUAGCCGGCCGGUCCGCCUCACCGCGUGCACUGGCUCGGCUGGGUCUUUCCUUCUGGAGAACCGCAUGCCCUUCACUGGGUGUGCCGGGGAACCAGGACUUUUACUCUGAACAAAUUAGAUCGCUUAAAGAAGGCCUAUGCUCGAAUACAUUAGCAUGGAAUAAUAGAAUAGGACG
rnacentral:rRNA from 1 species